CACGUAGGGGGCGAGCGUUGUCCGGAUUUAUUGGGCGUAAAGAGCUCGUAGGCGGCUCAGUAAGUCGGGUGUGAAAACUCCAGGCUCAACCUGGAGACGCCACCUGAUACUGCUGUGGCUAGAGUCCGGUAGGGGAGCAUGGAAUUCCUGGUGUAGCGGUGAAAUGCGCAGAUAUCAGGAGGAACACCAGUGGCGAAGGCGGUGCUCUGGGCCGGAACUGACGCUGAGGAGAGAAAGCGUGGGGAGCAAACAGG
rnacentral:rRNA from 1 species